GUACACGCUGUGACUAGCAUAUCAAUAAGCGGAGGAAAAGAAACUAACAAGGAUUCCCCUAGUAACGGCGAGUGAAGCGGGAAGAGCUCAAAUUUGAAAUCUUAAAGGGUUUCCCUUUACGAAUUGUAGUUUAAAGAAGUGUUUUCUGUUGAGGUUUUGGUAAAAGUUCUUUGGAAUAGGACAUCAUAGAGGGUGAGAAUCCCGUAUUUGACCUUUACUUUCAACUUUGUGAUACACUUUCAAAGAGUCGGAUUGUUUGGGAAUGCAGUCCAAAAUGGGUGGUAAAUUUCAUCUAAAGCUAAAUAUUGGCGAGAGACCGAUAGCGAACAAGUACCGUGAGGGAAAGAUGAAAAGAACUUUGAAAAGAGAGUUAAACAGUACGUGAAAUUGUCAAAAGGGAAGCGUUUGACACCAGUGUUGUUUUUCUGAAAAUCAAUUAAAGAACUGUUUAUGCUAAGCUGUUUAGACUUUAUCAGCUAUCUGUUUAGUUUUGAGCUUUUCUUUAAUGCACUUUUCAGUUAACAAGUCAACAUCAAUUUCUUUGCUGUAAAAAAGCUUGAGGAAGGUGGCUUGAGAUUCGUCUUAAGUGUUUAUAGCCUCUUGCCUAUGCAGUCGGAGAGAUUGAGGUCUGCAGCGUAGAUCCUUCGGGGCUAAAUGCAUUUGUGCUAAGUUAUAGCAUUUUAUAGACAACUUGUUGACUAUGAUUUGUCUUGUAGCUUACUCGCUUAUGUUAUUUUACCUACGCUUAGGAUGUUGACGAGACUGUCGAUCUC
rnacentral:rRNA from 1 species